GCUUUGCUUAGCUUCGAGCUUGCUAACGGAGCGGACUUUUGGAGCCUCCCGACCUUGGGGUUGAUAAUGACACCUUGAUGUUCUACCUUUCUGGCCAUGGGGGCAUCGACUUUAUGUAUCUGGUGUUACUGUUCAUAACUGAUCUCUCUCUCUCUCUCUCUCUCAUCAUGGGCUUACGAAUCUCUCUCUCUCUCUCUCUAGGAUAGGUAAUUGAGAGGGCAUGUGAUCUCUCGCAAGUUGGCCCUGGGCGGGGCAGAUGUGCUCACUCCAUUAAAGCUCAAACUCCUCGGCCAACUUACCUAGACAACGAGGGUUAAUUUCAAGGAUGACUUUUUUGAAGCUUCAUUGGAAGAGAAUUCAAGGUUAUCAUUUUUGCUUGGUGAGCACAUUUUCGCUUGUGUUUGCCCUCAUAAAAGACAAAGUCAGACACAAAUUGCUACCACCUUCCCGGUUUGAACCAAUCAAAAUGUCUAAGGGUAAGUAAAUAUCUUGGUGGCCCCUCGUCCUUUUUCUACCUGCA
rnacentral:lncRNA from 1 species